CCUACGGGAGACAGCAGUAGGGAAUCUUUCACAAUGGGCGAAAGCCUGAUGGAGCAACGCCGCGUGCAGGAUGAAGGCCUUCGGGUUGUAAACUGCUUUUAUAAGCGAGAAAUAUGAUGGUAACUUAUGAAUAAGGAUCGGCUAACUACGUGCCAGCAGCCGCGGUCAUACGUAGGAUCCGAGCAUUAUCCGGAGUGACUGGGUGUAAAGAGUUGCGUAGGUGGCAUAAUAAGUAGCUAGUGAAAUCUGGUGGCUCAACCAUUCAGACUAUUAGCUAAACUGUUAAGCUCGAGACCGUUAGGGGUAACUGGAAUUUCUAGUGUAGGAGUGAAAUCCGUAGAUAUUAGAAGGAACACCAGUAGCGUAGGCAGGUUGCUGGGACGGUUCUGACACUAAGGCACGAAAGCGUAGGGAGCAAACGGGAUUAGAUACCCCAGUAGUC
rnacentral:rRNA from 1 species